rnacentral:rRNA from 1 species
UACGAAGGGUGCAAGCGUUACUCGGAAUUACUGGGCGUAAAGGGUGCGUAGGCGGUUCGUUAAGUCUGUUGUGAAAUCCCCGGGCUCAACCUGGGAAUGGCAAUGGAUACUGGCGAGCUAGAGUGUGAUAGAGGAUGGUGGAAUUCCCGGUGUAGCGGUGAAAUGCGUAGAGAUCGGGAGGAACAUCAGUGGCGAAGGCGGCCAUCUGGAUCAACACUGACGCUGAAGCACGAAAGCGUGGGGAGCAAACAGG